CUACGGGGCGCUGCAGCCGAGAAUCUUCCGCAAUGGACGAAAGUCUGACGGAGCGACGCCGCGUGCGGGAUGAAGGCCUUCGGGUUGUAAACCGCUGUCAGUGGGGAGGAAAUGCAUCAGGGUUCUCCCUGGUGUUUGACCGAUCCGCAGAGGAAGCGCAGGCUAAGUUCGUGCCAGCAGCCGCGGUAACACGAACUGCGCGAACGUUAUUCGGAAUCACUGGGCUUAAAGAGUUCGUAGGCGGCCUUUCAAGUCGGGUGUGAAAUCCCUCGGCUCAACCGAGGAAUUGCGCCUGAUACUGUUGGGCUUGAGGGGGAUAGGGGUGAGCGGAACUGAUGGUGGAGCGGUGAAAUGCGUUGAUAUCAUCAGGAACACCGGUGGCGAAGGCGGCUCACUGGAUCUCUUCUGACGCUGAGGAACGAAAGCUAGGGGAGCGAACGGGAUUAGAUACCCCAGUAGUC
rnacentral:rRNA from 1 species